rnacentral:lncRNA from 1 species
CCAUCAGUAACAUCUAGUAAUAUGUAGUGGCAAUCUAGCAGAACCAAAAUAGAACCUUGAGAUAUAGUUCUUGUGUGAUUCAAUCCCUCUAUCAUGAGUCCUGACUAGAUAGCAAAUCAUGGAUAAAUCAUCAAAUCUUAUCAUCAGUCAUAUGAUAGAUUCGAUUAGCUUAAAUUCAAUUAUGAUUCUUAUAGAAACUCUUUUCUAUCAAUCACACUACUGUGUUCAUAGACUCACAGACUUAGCCUCUCAAAUUUUAUAGGACUACUCCUUUCUAUCAAGAUCGAUAGAUUCUAUCUAGAUGCGCACCCUACUUCUACAGUGAAUCAACUAUCGCUAACAUCUACUACAAGGACUCAAAAAGGUCAUAUUUCUAUAUCAGUCAAACUUCAGUGGUCUCGCUGUAAGCAAAUAUGCCAUUGUAGAUCAAAGGACUAUUCACACAACUACAGCAUUGAGACGAUCACUGAUGAUUGAGUAAAAAUCAUGUGAUCUCUCAUAUGGUCACGCUCAGUACUAGUUCUCUAACAACUACCCACAUUUAUCGCUUAAUGUCUCUACACUAUAGAUCAGAGACUCAUCUACUCUGAAGGAAGUGAUCUAUGCUUUGAUUUAUCCGAAACGAUCACCAUCUUUAUGAUGAUAUUAUGAUCGGAAGUAAUUAAGAAUAUAUAUCGUAAGUAUUAAUUUUAUGGAUGAUUCAAGAACAUAUCACACUUGAAUGAAAAUAAAAUUUUAUCCUUGUAUUGAUCAAAUCUAUAUUUUAAGUAUAAAAUUAUACACUAAAGUUAUUACAAUGUGUCCACCAUAUUGGCUUCUAAGACAUACAUCCAAAAAUCUCUCACUUGAAUUAAAGCCAAUUGACCACUAAUCUAAGUCCUAUCUUCUCAAGAUGGACCUUCAUAUUUGGCUGACUCAAUUACUUUAUCAGCGGAUCUGCUACGUUGUCUGUGGAG